rnacentral:rRNA from 1 species
UCAUUAAAUCAGUUAUCGUUUAUUUGAUAGUACCUUACUACUUGGAUAACCGUGGUAAUUCUAGAGCUAAUACAUGCUAAAAACCUCGACUUCGGAAGGGGUGUAUUUAUUAGAUAAAAAACCAAUGCCCUUCGGGGCUCACUGGUGAUUCAUAAUAACUUAACGAAUCGCAUGGCCUUGUGCCGGCGAUGGUUCAUUCAAAUUUCUGCCCUAUCAACUUUCGAUUGUUGGGUCUUGGCCAACAAUGGUUUCAACGGGUAACGGGGAAUUAGGGUUCUAUUCCGGAGAGGGAGCCUGAGAAACGGCUACCACAUCCAAGGAAGGCAGCAGGCGCGCAAAUUACCCAAUCCUGAUUCAGGGAGGUAGUGACAAUAAAUACUGAUACAGGGCUCUUUUGGGUCUUGUAAUUGGAAUGAGUACAAUUUAAAUCCCUUAACGAGGAACAAUUGGAGGGCAAGUCUGGUGCCAGCAGCCGCGGUAAUUCCAGCUCCAAUAGCGUAUAUUAAAGUUGUUGCAGUUAAAAAGCUCGUAGUUGAACCUUGGGCCUGGCUGGCCGGUCCGCCUCACCGCGUGCACUGGUCCGGCCGGGCCUUUCCUUCUGGGGAGCCGCAUGCCCUUCACUGGGUGUGUCGGGGAACCAGGACUUUUACUUUGAAAAAAUUAGAGUGUUCAAAGCAGGCCUAUGCUCGAAUACAUUAGCAUGGAAUAAUAGAAUAGGACGUGUGGUUCUAUUUUGUUGGUUUCUAGGACCGCCGUAAUGAUUAAUAGGGACAGUUGGGGGCAUCAGUAUUUAAUUGUCAGAGGUGAAAUUCUUGGAUUUAUUAAAGACUAACUACUGCGAAAGCAUUUGCCAAAGAUGUUUUCAUUAAUCAGUGAACGAAAGUUAGGGGAUCGAAGACGAUCAGAUACCGUCGUAGUCUUAACCAUAAACUAUGCCGACUAGGGAUCGGGCGAUGUUAUCUUUUUGACUCGCUCGGCACCUUACGAGAAAUCAAAGUCUUUGG